AACGAACGCUGGCGGCAGGCUUAACACAUGCAAGUCGAGCGAGACCUUCGGGUCUAGCGGCGGACGGGUGAGUAACGCGUGGGAACGUGCCCUUCUCUACGGAAUAGCCCCGGGAAACUGGGAGUAAUACCGUAUACGCCCUUUGGGGGAAAGAUUUAUCGGAGAAGGAUCGGCCCGCGUUGGAUUAGGUAGUUGGUGGGGUAAUGGCCCACCAAGCCGACGAUCCAUAGCUGGUUUGAGAGGAUGAUCAGCCACACUGGGACUGAGACACGGCCCAGACUCCUACGGGAGGCAGCAGUGGGGAAUCUUAGACAAUGGCGGCAACCCUGAUCGAGCCAUGCCGCGUGAGUGAUGAAGGCCUUAGGGUUGUAAAGCUCUUUCAGCUGGGAAGAUAAUGACGGUACCAGCAGAAGAAGCCCCGGCUAACUCCGUG
rnacentral:rRNA from 1 species